AUGCAUAUUACUCAUGUGAUGGCUAUCUAUAAUAAUAAACUUGUAGUGCACAUCAUUAGAAAUUUUAAGACAGUCAGUGUUCCUUGCCCCGCGCACCUGAGAGGCUGCUCUCCGACUCCCGCGCUGGACCCUCUUGCGCCACUGAACCCCCUGAUCCGGGGGCCUCGGAUCCCAGGGCUCAGGAGGACUGAACCAGGACUUACCCGAAGUUGCCGCGGGGCCUUCCGAUCCCCUAGGCCAUCGCCCAAGUCUGGCCAGGCUGAUGGGACCAGCGAGGAGUCUCUGCACCUUGACAUUCAGAAACUGAAGGAGAAGAGGGACAUGCUGGAUGAGGAGAUCUCCCAGUUCAUAUCUGAAGGCUACAGUGUGGAUGAACUGGAGGACCACAUUACCCAGCUUCACGAGUACAAUGACAUCAAGGAUGUGGGGCAGAUGCUGAUGGGCAAACUAGCUGUGAUCCGAGGUGUCACCACCAAAGAGUUGUAUCCAGAGUUUGGGCUGGACAUGAAUGACUGAGCAGGCUCAUCGCCCCUUGUCCACAGUCCCCAGGGACAGAAGGGUGUGGACAUGAUAAACGCUGAGAGCCCAACCAGCACACCUACAGAGUUUCCAGCAAGAAAAUGCCAGAAGCCCUUUUCUAGAGAGCCCAAGCUGAAUCAGGAGGAGCCUAGAGAAGAGGCGGGCAGGGAGGAAGGGGCGUUCCCAGCUCCAAGGUUCCUGAAAUGUCGCAGUGAUACUUGUAUAGGGGUACAUGUACUUUAUUUGUCAAUAAACAUAUCUGUACACU